GGGCGAGCCAGAGUGGCUGGGA
rnacentral:misc_RNA from 1 species